AUGACCACCGGCGGGAACGGGGAGGAGCAGCAGGGGCGGAGGCUGUUCGGCGUGUCGCUCACGGACAGGCCCGUCUGGCAGCAGUUCCUCAUCUGCUCCUCCGGCUUCUUCUUCGGCUACCUCGUCAAUGGCAUCUGCGAGGAAUACGUCUACAACCGGCUCCAGUUCAGCUACGGGUGGUACUUCACGUUCGUGCAGGGAUUUGUGUACCUGGGGCUGAUCAGGCUGCAGGGGUUCACCACGAAGCAGAUGGUGAACCCGUGGCGGACCUACGUGCGCCUCUCCGCCGUGCUCAUGGGAUCCAACGGCCUCACCAAGGGCUCCCUCGCCUUCCUCAACUACCCCGCACAGAUCAUGUUCAAGUCCACCAAGGUGUUGCCGGUGAUGAUAAUGGGAGCAUUUAUCCCAGGAUUAAGACGCAAGUACCCAUUCCAUGAGUACGUAUCGGCGGUGAUGCUCGUCAUCGGCCUCAUACUUUUCACGCUCGCGGACGCGCAAACAUCGCCUAAUUUCAGCAUGAUCGGCGUGGCCAUGGUGUCCAGUGCGCUCAUUAUGGAUGCCUUCCUUGGCAACCUGCAGGAAGCAAUCUUCAAGAUGAACCCAGACACCACACAGAUGGAGAUGCUGUUCUGCUCAACUGUUGUUGGCCUGCCUUUCCUCGCUGUGCCAAUGGUGUUAACAGGGGAGCUUACGACGGCGUGGAGUGCGUGUUCUCAGCACUUGUACGUGUAUGCCGUGUUGGUUUUCGAGGCGAUGGCGACGUUCGUCGGGCAGGUGUCGGUGCUGUCCCUCAUCGCGCUCUUUGGGGCUGCCACGACGGCAAUGGUGACGACGGCGAGGAAGGCGGUGACCCUGCUCCUGUCGUACCUGAUAUUCACCAAGCCCAUGACGGAGCAGCACGUCACGGGGCUCCUGCUGAUCACCAUGGGGAUCAUGCUGAGGCUCCUGCCAGAGGACAAGGAGAAGAAGGGCACGGCCAAGCGCCAGCAGGUGAAGGCGCAGCGGCGGGGAGACGGAGUAGAGGAGGAGACAUCACCGUUGGUAUGA
rnacentral:rRNA from 1 species